GCGCCUCUAGCUCAACUGGAUAGAGCAAUGAGCUUCUACCUCAUAGGUUGCAGGUUCGAUUCCUGCGAGGCGCACCA
rnacentral:tRNA from 1 species